rnacentral:pre_miRNA from 2 species
GUGAGCCAGGAAAAGGAAGAAAGUUUCUAAGAGCACUAGGAAUAGGAACAUGAAGGAAAGCAUUAUUGUGUAUAUGGACAUUUGGUUUAAUGUUUUCCUGAUGCCUCCUAUUCCUAAGGCUCUUAGGUUCUCCUUCCCUUUCCAUAUGGCU